CGGCGUGCUUAACACAUAGCAAGUCGAACGCGAAAGGGGACUUCGGUCCUGAGUAAAGUGGCGCACGGGUGAGUAACGCGUAGAUAACCUGUCUUCAUGUCUGGAAUAAUACGCCGAAAGGGGUACUAAUACCGGAUAUUCUUGCUUUUCAUAAGUUAUGCAAGCAAAGGUGGCCUCUGCAUAUGCUACUGCAUGAAGAGGGGUCUGCGUACCAUUAGCUAGUAGGUGGGGUAAUGGCCUACCUAGGCGACGAUGGUUAGCGGGUCUGAGAGGAUGAUCCGCCACACUGGCACUGGAACACGGGCCAGACUCCUACGGGAGGCAGCAGUGAGGAAUAUUGCGCAAUGGGGGAAACCCUGACGCAGCGACGCCGCGUGAGUGAGGAAGGCCUUCGGGUCGUAAAGCUCUGUCAAGAGGAAAGAAGUGUACAAUGGCUAAUACCUGUUGUAUUUGACGGUACCUCUAAAGGAAGCACCGGCUAACUCCGUGCCAGCCGCCGC
rnacentral:rRNA from 1 species